rnacentral:lncRNA from 1 species
UUAUCAGUCACAUGUUCAUUGUUGGUUUGCAACGGGUUCAUCGGGGAAUGGGUUUAUUAAGUUACAUGUCUAUCGGAUCUCAAACUGAGUGGGUCUCGGAUUGAUAUGAAUUGACAUCGUUUCACAAUAAAGUUUAAAAAAUAAUACGGUGAUUUGUUUAAAAUAAAAAUGCAGAAAAUAAAUAUAAGUAUAUGAAUAAAAGUAGAGAUGAAUAUCAUCAUAUUCACCUAAAUUUUUUAAAUGCAACCCACCAGUAAAUUUGUUCAGCUAAAUAUCAGUACAAGUUUCCGGCCAAUCGGCCGGGCACAGAGCUAGUAUGAAUAUAUAGACGUCGCUAGGCGAUAGGCGCAUAAUUCCCAAAUCCCAACCAAGCCAGCUAUUGAUUUUGAACGCCCGGUCCGUGCUAGCUAUGUAGCUACCGUCCAUGGCCACCGCGGGGUGAAUCAGGCCUACAAGCAAUCGACCAACACCGCCACGGCGGGGGUGUGCGCACAAAUAAAAAAAAAUUAAAAGCCCACGUACGUACGAGGUUAGUGACUAUAAUAUAUUUAAUCCUGAAUCAUAUAAUAUAUUCUUGCAAUUAAAAGAUGGAUAUAGCUAGCAUAACUGUAUAUAAAUUAAAGUUGACGUACGUACUCUGUUGGGCCAAAGGUGGAACUGUCGACAGCAAAAUGAUGAUGAUCAGCACAUACAACAGCAGUAGAAGAGCCGUCUUCUUUGUCUUUAUAUUCAUCUCCAUGGAUCGAUCAGAUCUCACUGUAUGCCUAUCUUGCUAAGUAAUCUCAAUAAAUAGAAGGCAAGAGGAUGUAUAUCAAGAUUCAGCAGUUAAUUAUUGCUACAGCUCAUAUUUGUAGACGACUAAUCUUCUCCUCCAACUUGGAAAGAAAAAAUCUGGCCGAAUACCAAAA